AUUGCUUUUGAGGAAGUUCAUAAGGAGAAAAAGUUGGAAAAGUGUUGAAUAUACCUAUUUAUAAGUUGUUGAAGUGGAAGCGGUUUUUGUUAAGCAUUAAUGGUUGAAAAGAAAGUGGGACGCGUGUCAGUUGGAAUGACCAUGAUGAACGGUGGAAGUUAAAGGCUAGCCACGAUCUCUUAGGGGCUAGGAGGCGUGAUGAUUGUAUAAAUAUUCUCACGUGAGUUUUAAA
rnacentral:lncRNA from 1 species